rnacentral:rRNA from 1 species
AGGGCUGGGCAAGACCGGUGCCAGCCGCCGCGGUAACACCGGCAGCCCGAGUGGUGAUCACUAUUAUUGGGUCUAAAGGGUCCGUAGCCGGUUUAAUCAGUCUUCUGGGAAAUCUAAUCGCUUAACUAUUAGGCUUCCAGGGGAUACUGUUAGACUUGGGACCGGGAGAGGUAAGAGGUACUGCAGGGGUAGGAGUGAAAUCUUGUAAUCCCUGUGAGACCACCAGUGGCGAAGGCGUCUUACCAGAACGGGUCCGACGGUGAGGGACGAAAGCUGGGGGCACGAACCGGAUUAGAUACCCGGGUAGUCCCAGCUGUAAACGAUGCUCGUUAGGUGUCAGGAACGGUGCGACUGUUUCUGGUGCCGAAGGGAAGCCGUGAAACGAGCCACCUGGGAAGUACGGCCGCAAGGCUGAAACUUAAAGGAAUUGGCGGGGGAGCACUACAACGGGUGGAGCCUGCGGUUUAAUUGGACUCAACGCCGGAAAACUCACCGGGGGCGACAGCAAUAUGUAGGUCAGGUUAAAGGUCUUACCUGAAUCGCUGAGAGGAGGUGCAUGGCCGUCGUCAGUUCGUACUGUGAAGCAUCCUGUUAAGUCAGGCAACGAGCAAGACCCGUGCCCACUGUUACCAGCAUAUCCUUUAUGGAUGAUGGGGACUCUGUGGGGACCGCUGCUGCUAAAGCAGAGGAAGGUGCGGGCUACGGUAGGUCAGUAUGCCCCGAAUCUCCCGGGCUACACGCGGGCUACAAUGGUUGGGACAAUGGGUAUCUACUCCGAAAGGAGUUGGCAAUCUCUUAAACCCAAUCGUAGUUCGAAUUGAGGGCUGUAACUCGCCCUCAUGAAGCUGGAAUCCGUAGUAAUCGCGUUUCAACAUAGCGCGGUGAAUCU